rnacentral:rRNA from 1 species
AGUGAACGCUGGCGGCGUGCUUAACACAUGCAAGUCGAACGAGAACGGGUUAUAGCUUGCUAUAAUUGUCAGCUAAGUGGCGCACGGGUGAAUAAUGUAUAGGUAAUAUGCCUCUUACUAAGGGAUAACAAAUGGAAACGUUUGCUAAUACCUUAUACUCCUUUUAAACAGAAGUUUAAAAGGGAAAGAUUUAUUGGUAAGAGAUUAGCCUGUAUUGUAUCAGUUAGUUGGUGGGGUAAUGGCUUACCAAGACUAUGACACAUAACUGGUUUGAGAGGAUGAUCAAUCACAUUGGAACUGAGACACGGUCCAGACUCCUACGGGAGGCAGCAGUGGGGAAUAUUGCACAAUGGACGAAAGUCUGAUGCAGCAACGCCGCGUGGAGGAUGACACAUUUCGGUGCGUAAACUCCUUUUAUAUGAGAAGAUAAUGACGGUAUUAUAUGAAUAAGCACCGGCUAACUCCGUGCCAGCCGCCGCGGUAA